CAAAAACAUCGCCUCUUGAAUAAAAAUAAGAGGUCCAGCCUGCCCAGUGACAAAUGUUCAACGGCCGCGGUAUCCUAACCGUGCGAAGGUAGCGUAAUCACUUGUUCUUUAAAUGGGGACUAGUAUGAAUGGCACCACGAGGGUUACACUGUCUCCUCCAUCUAAUCAGUGAAACUAAUCUCCCCGUGAAGAAGCGGGGAUAUAACUAUAAGACGAGAAGACCCUAUGGAGCUUUAAACUUCUCUUUAGACGCCAGACAUCUCAACAAGUCACUGACUUUAUUAUAUAUACCUUAGCGCCAUGAAGACGACUUUUAGGUUGGGGUGACCGCGGAGUACAAAACAACCUCCACGAUGGACAGGUUUCCUAACCUUGAACAAAGGACCACAACCCGAUGGACUAAAAAAUUUACAUCAUUGACCCAAUAUAUUUUUGAUCAACGAACCAAGUUACCCUAGGGAUAACAGCGCAAUCUACUUCAAGAGUCCCUAUCGACAAGUAGGUUUACGACCUCGAUGUUGGAUCAGGGUAUCCCAGUGGUGCAGCCGCUACUAAAGGUUCGUUUGUUCAACGAUUAAAACCCU
rnacentral:rRNA from 1 species